rnacentral:rRNA from 1 species
UGAUCCUGGCUCAGAUUGAACGCUGGCGGCAGGCCUAACACAUGCAAGUCGAACGGUAACAGGAAACAGCUUGCUGUUUCGCUGACGAGUGGCGGACGGGUGAGUAAUGUCUGGGAAACUGCCUGAUGGAGGGGGAUAACUACUGGAAACGGUAGCUAAUACCGCAUAACGUCGCAAGACCAAAGAGGGGGACCUUCGGGCCUCUUGCCAUCGGAUGUGCCCAGAUGGGAUUAGCUAGUAGGUGGGGUAACGGCUCACCUAGGCGACGAUCCCUAGCUGGUCUGAGAGGAUGACCAGCCACACUGGAACUGAGACACGGUCCAGACUCCUACGGGAGGCAGCAGUGGGGAAUAUUGCACAAUGGGCGCAAGCCUGAUGCAGCCAUGCCGCGUGUAUGAAGAAGGCCUUCGGGUUGUAAAGUACUUUCAGCGGGGAGGAAGGGAGUAAAGUUAAUACCUUUGCUCAUUGACGUUACCCGCAGAAGAAGCACCGGCUAACUCCGUGCCAGCAGCCGCGGUAAUACGGAGGGUGCAAGCGUUAAUCGGAAUUACUGGGCGUAAAGCGCACGCAGGCGGUUUGUUAAGUCAGAUGUGAAAUCCCCGGGCUCAACCUGGGAACUGCAUCUGAUACUGGCAAGCUUGAGUCUCGUAGAGGGGGGUAGAAUUCCAGGUGUAGCGGUGAAAUGCGUAGAGAUCUGGAGGAAUACCGGUGGCGAAGGCGGCCCCCUGGACGAAGACUGACGCUCAGGUGCGAAAGCGUGGGGAGCAAAAAGGAUUAGAUACCCUGGUAGUCCACGCCGUAAACGCCCUCAAGGGGGAGGUUGUGCCCUUGAGGGGUGGCUUCCGGAGGUAACGCGUUAAGUCGGCCGCCCUGGGGAGGACGGCCGCAAGGUUAAAACUCAAAUGAAUUGACGGGGGCCCGCACAAGCGGUGGAGCAUGUGGUUUAAUUCGAUGCAACGCGAAGAACCUUACCUGGUCUUGACAUCCACGGAAGUUUUCAGAGAUGAGAAUGUGCCUUCGGGAACCGUGAGACAGGUGCUGCAUGGCUGUCGUCAGCUCGUGUUGUGAAAUGUUGGGUUAAGUCCCGCAACGAGCGCAACCCUUAUCCUUUGUUGCCAGCGGUCCGGCCGGGAACUCAAAGGAGACUGCCAGUGAUAAACUGGAGGAAGGUGGGGAUGACGUCAAGUCAUCAUGGCCCUUACGACCAGGGCUACACACGUGCUACAAUGGCGCAUACAAAGAGAAGCGACCUCGCGAGAGCAAGCGGACCUCAUAAAGUGCGUCGUAGUCCGGAUUGGAGUCUGCAACUCGACUCCAUGAAGUCGGAAUCGCUAGUAAUCGUGGAUCAGAAUGCCACGGUGAAUACGUUCCCGGGCCUUGUACACACCGCCCGUCACACCAUGGGAGUGGGUUGCAAAAGAAGUAGGUAGCUUAACCUUCGGGAGGGCGCUUACCACUUUGUGAUUCAUGACUGGGGUGAAG